GGGACGCUUCUUCGAGAACAACAACAGUUAGUAAAACACCUUGUUAGCGUGCUAGACAACAUCGCAGAAACAUUGAAGCCCUUCAGACCGUUUCAGUGUCUAUUUGCCAUUGUGUUUUGAACACACUUCUGUCGUAUCUACUAGUUACCCCAUUUAAUGUAAUAUUUACGUUGUUAGUCAUCUAAUUUAGACUAGCCCUAAGCUAAUGCUAAUUAGCUAGCUAACAUCCCCGACCAUGAGCUCACUAAGCUACUCUCCUCCUGCUGAAGAAGAGGUCUGCUGGACAGAGAAAGAAGCUCUUUGGUUGAACGUUGUUGUGAAAGAAGAGAAGAUACGUUCUGAGUGAAAGAGGAGGAGGAUGUUGCAGUUUUUGGAUUGAAGGAGUUGGAGAUCUGUUUAACCAGAAUGGCUGAAGUUUUUGUUUGUUCCAGUUUUUGGAUUGAAGGAGGAGGAAGAAGAGGAGACUGAAGAUCUGAUUAACACCAUUACCGUGUAGGGCACUGCAAGGUUGGGUGACCAGGGUCAUCUGGGACUGC